GGAAAGAAGACCCUGUUGAGUUUGACUCUAGUCUGACAGAGUGCAGCAGCAUGGAGGGUGUAGCACAGGUGGGAAGU
rnacentral:rRNA from 16 species